GACGAACGCUGGCGGCGUGCCUAAUACAUGCAAGUAGAACGCUGAAGGAGGAGCUUGCUUCUCUGGAUGAGUUGCGAACGGGUGAGUAACGCGUAGGUAACCUGCCUGGUAGCGGGGGAUAACUAUCGGAAACGAUAGCUAAUACCGCAUAAUAGUAGAUGUUGCAUGACAUUUGCUUAAAAGUUGCAAUUGCAUCACUACCAGAUGGACCUGCGUUGUAUUAGCUAGUUGGUGAGGUAACGGCUCACCAAGGCGACGAUACAUAGCCGACCUGAGAGGGUGAUCGGCCACACUGGGACUGAGACACGGCACAGACUCCUACGGGAGGCAGCAGUAGGGAAUCUUCGGCAAUGGACGGAAGUCUGACCGAGCAACGCCGCGUGAGUGAAGAAGGUUUUCGGAUCGUAAAGCUCUGUUGUAAGAGAAGAACGAGUGUGAGAGUGGAAAGUUCACACUGUGACGGUAUCUUACCAGAAAGGGACGGCUAACUACGUG
rnacentral:rRNA from 1 species